GGUUUUCUUAAGUAACAUGAGCUGUAAUCAUUGCUUUCUUGAAAUUUGUAUUUCUUUCCAAUUACAGGAUAACAUCCAUGAGCGAAGCUGGCCUCUAUAAUUACUGGGACAGGGAUCUAAUGCCCAACUCGAGCGCGUGUGAGCGAGUGCCAACUAAGAUUACCAUCAGCUCCUCCCUUUCACUCAGGCAGUGUUGGGCAAUGCUGGUGGUGCUCGCUGGAGGCCUGGUGGUGGGCGUUACCAUUUUAUGCGUGGAGGUGGUCGUCGCCGAAGUCUUGCGUCGCUAAAAGAUAAUUUUACCGUUUGUGUAUCUUUUCUCCCACAUAUAUACAAGUAGAAAUAAACCUGUUUAUGUAAAAUACUAUAUGUAAAAUGAAUACAAUAUUUAUCAUAAAAUUCAAAAUAAAAA